rnacentral:rRNA from 1 species
AACGAACGCUGGCGGCAGGCCUAACACAUGCAAGUCGAGCGAGACCUUCGGGUCUAGCGGCGGACGGGUGAGUAACGCGUGGGAACGUGCCCUUUUCUACGGAAUAGCCUCGGGAAACUGAGCGUAAUACCGUAUACGCCCUUUGGGGGAAAGAUUUAUCGGAGAAGGAUCGGCCCGCGUUGGAUUAGGUAGUUGGUGGGGUAAUGGCCUACCAAGCCUACGAUCCAUAGCUGGUUUGAGAGGAUGAUCAGCCACACUGGGACUGUGACACGGCCCAGACUCCUACGGGAGGCAGCAGUGGGGAAUCUUAGACAAUGGGGGCAACCCUGAUCUAGCCAUGCCGCGUGAGUGAUGAAGGCCUUAGGGUUGUAAAGCUCUUUCAGCUGGGAAGAUAAUGACGGUACCAGCAGAAGAAGCCCCGGCUAACUCCGUG